AAACUUAAACCCUUUGCAGUUGAAAUCAGCGUCUGAAAAAACUUAAUAGUUACAACUUUUCAACAACGGAUCUCUUGGUUUCUGGCAUCGAUGAAGAACGCAGCGAAAUGCGAUAAGUAGUGUGAAUUGCAGAAUUCAGUGAAUCAUCGAAUCUUUGAACGCACAUUGCGCCCCUUGGUAUUCCAUGGGGCAUGCCUGUUCGAGCGUCAUUU
rnacentral:rRNA from 1 species